rnacentral:ncRNA from 2 species
CAAAGGCUUGGUCCUGACUUUAUUAUCAACUUUAGCUAGAUUUACACAUGCAAGUAUCCGCACCCCUGUGAGAAUGCCCUACAGUUCCCCGCCCCGGGAACAAGGAGCUGGUAUCAGGCACACCCCAUUGAGCCCACGACGCCUUGCUUAGCCACACCCUCAAGGGAACUCAGCAGUGAUAAACAUUAAGCCAUAAGUGAAAACUUGACUUAGUCAAGGCUAAGAGGGCCGGUAAAACUCGUGCCAGCCACCGCGGUUAUACGAGAGGCCCAAGUUGAUGACCACCGGCGUAAAGCGUGGUUAAGUUAAAACUCACACUAAAGUCAAACAUCUUCAAGACUGUUAUACGUACCCGAAGACAGGAAGUUCAACCACGAAAGUGACUUUAUAUGAUCUGACCCCACGAAAGCUAAGGAACAAACUGGGAUUAGAUACCCCACUAUGCCUAGCCCUAAACAUUGAUAGUACUACACACCCACUAUCCGCCCGGGAACUACGAGCAAUAGCUUAAAACCCAAAGGACUUGGCGGUGCUUUAGAUCCACCUAGAGGAGCCUGUUCUAGAACCGAUACCCCCCGUUCAACCUCACCCUUCCUUGUUUAUCCCGCCUAUAUACCGCCGUCGUCAGCUUACCCUCUGAGGGUCUAAUAGUAAGCAAAACUGGCACAGCCUAAAACGUCAGGUCGAGGUGUAGCGUAUGGAGGGGGAAGAAAUGGGCUACAUUCGCUACAACAGCGAACACGAAAGAUGUGCUGAAACAUCCAUCUGAAGGAGGAUUUAGCAGUAAGCAGGAAAUAGAGCGUCCCGCUGAAACUGGCCCUGAAGCGCGCACACACCGCCCGUCACUCUCCCCAAAACCGCCCACUCAGUUAAUUAAAACCUAAUAAUCAAAAGGGGAGGCAAGUCGUAACAUGGUAAGUGUACCGGAAGGUGCACUUGGAAAAAU